rnacentral:rRNA from 1 species
UACGGAGGGGGCUAGCGUUGCUCGGAAUCACUGGGCGUAAAGCGCACGUAGGCGGAUUGUUAAGUCAGGGGUGAAAUCCUGGAGCUCAACUCCAGAACUGCCUUUGAUACUGGCGAGCUUGAGUCCGGGAGAGGUGAGUGGAACUGCGAGUGUAGAGGUGAAAUUCGUAGAUAUUCGCAAGAACACCAGUGGCGAAGGCGGCUCACUGGCCCGGUACUGACGCUGAGGUGCGAAAGCGUGGGGAGCAACA